UACGGAGGUGGCAAGCGUUGUUCGGAUUUAUUGGGUGUAAAGGGUAUGUAGGUGUCCUGUUAAGUCCUUCUUGAAAUACUUUGGCUCAACCAAAGCUCCGGGGGGGAAACUGGCAGGAUUGAGUACAGGAGAGGAGAGUGGAAUUCUCGGUGUAAGGGUGAAAUCUGUAGAUAUCGAGAGGAACACCAGUGGCGAAAGCGGCUCUCUGGCCUGAUACUGACACUGAAAUACGAAAGCAAGGGGAGCAAACAGGAUUAGAUACCCCGGUA
rnacentral:rRNA from 1 species